rnacentral:rRNA from 1 species
AUUGAACGCUGGCGGCAUGCCUUACACAUGCAAGUCGAACGGUAACAGGUCUUCGGAUGCUGACGAGUGGCGAACGGGUGAGUAAUACAUCGGAACGUGCCUAGUAGUGGGGGAUAACUACGCGAAAGAGUGGCUAAUACCGCAUGAGAUCUACGGAUGAAAGAAGGGGGUCGCAAGACCUUGUGCUACUAGAGGGGCAGAUGGACGAUUAGGUCGUUGGUGGGAUAAAAGCUUACCAAGCCGACGAUCUGUAGCUGGUCUGAGAGGACGAUCAGCCACACGGGUACUGAGACACGGCCCAGACUCCUACGGGAGGCAGCAGUGGGUAAUUUUGGACAAUGGGCGCAAGCCUGAUCCAGCAAUACCGCGUGCAGGAUGAAGGCCUUCGGGUUGUAAACUGCUUUUGUACGGAACGAAAAGCCCCGGGUUAAUACCCUGGGGUCAUGACGGUACCGUAAGAAUAAGCACCGGCUAACUACGUGCCAGCAGCCGCAGUAA